rnacentral:rRNA from 1 species
AUGGCAAAUCAGCUACAGUGGCAGAUUUCGGCCUUAGUGCAUUUUCUGCAGUCUGGGUUUCUAAAAGGUCGCUCCAUUGUUGAGAAUUUUGCGUUGGCUGUUGAGUUAAUACAAUGUGCUCACAAAAGAAAGCUGCCAGUCAUCACUCUGAAGUUGGACUUCCAUAAGGCCUUCAAUAGUGUUAGUUGGGACUGCCUGAAGCUAGUCAUGGAAGCAAGGGGCUUUCCCCAACCCUAGAGGCAAUGGGUCUCCAACCUCCUCUCUUCUGAAUGCUUAAGGGUCAUGAUCAAUGGCGAGCAGCCCCCCCCCCCCACUCUUGCUAAGCCUGGCUUCCGGCAGGGUGACUCUCUGUCACCUUAUCUCUUCAUCCUGGUGGCAGAUGUGUUACAAAGGCUG